rnacentral:rRNA from 1 species
CCUACGGGAGGCAGCAGUGAGGAAUAUUGGUCAAUGGGCGAGAGCCUGAACCAGCCAAGUCGCGUGAGGGAGUACUGCCCUAUGGGUUGUAAACCUCUUUUGUCGGGGAGCAAAAUCCGGACGUGUCCGGCUGUGAGAGUACCCGAAGAAACAGCAUCGGCUAACUCCGUGCCAGCAGCCGCGGUAAUACGGAGGAUGCGAGCGUUAUCCGGAUUUAUUGGGUUUAAAGGGUGCGCAGGCGGAUUUUUAAGUCAGCGGUAAAAUCGUGGGGCUCAACCCCAUCCAGCCGUUGAAACUGGGGAUCUAGAGUGUGCGAGAGGUAGGCGGAAUGCGUGGUGUAGCGGUGAAAUGCAUAGAUAUCACGCAGAACCCUGAUUGCGAAGGCAGCAUACCGGUGCACAACUGACGCUCAGGCACGAAAGCGUGGGUAUCGAACAGGAUUAGAUACCCGUGUAGUC